rnacentral:rRNA from 1 species
GGUGGCGGACGGGUGAGUAACGCGUAAAGAACUUGCCUUACAGACUGGGACAACAUUUGGAAACGAAUGCUAAUACCGGAUAUUAUGACUGGGUCGCAUGAUCUGGUUAUGAAAAGCUAUAUGCGCUGUGAGAGAGCUUUGCGUCCCAUUAGUUAGUUGGUGAGGUAACGGCUCACCAAGACGAUGAUGGGUAGCCGGCCUGAGAGGGUGAACGGCCACAAGGGGACUGAGACACGGCCCUU